UACGUAGGGUGCAAGCGUUAAUCGGAAUUACUGGGCGUAAAGCGUGCGCAGGCGGUGAUGUAAGACAGAUGUGAAAUCCCCGGGCUCAACCUGGGAACUGCAUUUGUGACUGCAUCGCUGGAGUGCGGCAGAGGGGGAUGGAAUUCCGCGUGUAGCAGUGAAAUGCGUAGAUAUGCGGAGGAACACCGAUGGCGAAGGCGGCAUCCUGGACCGGCAUUGACGCUGAGGAGCGAAAGCCAGGGGAGCAAACGGG
rnacentral:rRNA from 1 species